GGAUGGACCUAUGUAGGCCAUACAGACCCCCAGUCCCAAGUGUAAGUUAUUUUACAUGGAUAGAUAGUGUUAAGAUGCUGUGGGCUCUGGCUCUCUUCAGAGAACACAUAAGUAAGAGAUGCUGCAGCUAGGACUCCAAAGAUGAGCAGGGGUUUUUUGCUGUUUUGUUUUGUUUUGUUUUUUGAGAGGGGCUGCUUAAAAAUAAAUCAGAAAUCCAGUGUGGAUUCUGUUUUAUUUGUCAUCUAAAUAGUCUUUAUUCUGGCGAGCUUUAUCAGAGACUUUAAGUAUUAAGGUGGCUUCAUUAAGCCUGUAAUUUUCCUCAAAAGCUAAACAUCCCAAGGAAAACAAAAUAGCUUGUUUGAAAACUGAAGAGCUACGGUGAGUUACUCUCCGUGGUUUCAGGACCAGCUGAACCUAGAAUGUUCCACUUCUAAAAAGGCAGCAGUUAGGAACAAACUGUUUAAGGAGCAGACUCAGUAUUCACUUAGGACUUUCCCUUUUGAGACAAUCAUUUGAACCCUGGGAAUGACGAAGUGUUCCAUCCAUGAGCGAUUCUGAAUGGACUGUAGAGCACUCUCCAAGGCAAUUUUGAUUAUUAAUAAAAUUGGGUUACUCUAUAUCUUUAUCUUAAAGCUUUUUAAAAAUCAGUAUCGGGAGAGUUAGUUUGUUGAAAGUUAAAGGUUGUACACACACACACACACACACACCCGGACAUACACACACUCCAGCUGUACAAACCUUUUAAAGCACAUUGAGAUUGUGGUGAAUCCAGUUACCAGGACAGUUACCCAGCUGCUCACCAUCUGCAAAAUGAAGUGUGAGUAGCGUGUGCUAUGGGCCUGAGAGGAAAGAGUCUAUGAACUCAGAGAAAUAGUCCUUGCAGUCAUUUCUGUGAGCUAACAGCAUAGUACUGCUAUCUGAGCUAAGAGUGCCUGCAGAACUUGAUUUUAAAUUGUUCAAACUGUAAUAAAUAGAGAUGUAAAAUAUAUUUGUGAAUAAGUGAAAAAUUGUUGCAAAGUUGUUUUCUGGUUUUGUUUUUAAUUGUUAUUAUUUACUUGCUAUACAUAUAUGCUUGCACCCCAGAAGGAGGGCAUCAGAUCUCAUGACAGAUGGUUGUGAGCCACCAUGUGGUUACUGGGAAUUGAACUCAGGACCUCUAGAAGAGCAGCCACUGCUCUUAACCUCUGAGCCAUCUCUCUAGCCCCAUUGCAAAGUUUGUUUUGUUUUUUAAAAAACAACCUAAAUUUGUUUAAUGCAGGUACAUUUACUUUGAGACCUUAAAUAGUAGAUAUCUGUUUUACGACAUUUAGAUAUUUUAGGCUUUUUUUUUCCUAAACAACAACAAAUAAGGAGUACAAACCAUUGGCCACUGUUCUUUGUUCUCAGCUCAAGUAUCAUCUAAGGGCUACAGCUAUAUUAGCAUUUUAGUGGGGCCUUCAAAGCCCACCCUCCUCUCCCCCUCCCUCCCUCUCCACAUGUGUGUAUAUAUGUUGACUAGUAAAUAUGCUUUAGCCACAAGGAACUUACAUUAGUUAGCUUUUAGUGUAAUCCAGAGGUUUAACGUUCCCCUUUUUCAUUACUCCAGGUUGCCUUCAGCCUGACUCACUCUAGUUAGUGAGUAAAAAUGAACGAUGCUGUUCUUCAAUGUUACAACAGCAUAUUAAGCACUUAUUCUUGAAUAAGCGCCUGACCUAAAAUUGCAUCCUACACAUUAAAUGUUUCUUUCAGGCUGGGGGUACCGCAAGGUGGCAGAACUUCACCUAGCACAUAGGAGGCACUGGGUCUGGACCUCAGGGAAAAAAAAAAGGGAGGGGGAGUAUUCAUCAUUAAAUGCUGCUACUUUAUUAAAGCUUUGACUGCAAUCAUAUUAGCCAUUGUACUGGUUACUGCAUUAUGCAACAACAAUUACGAUAAAGCGAUACAUUUAGUGCAAUCUACUGCAGUGUUGGGACUGGGCAUUGUGAAUUAACAGCUUGCUAGAGAAGUUCCACUGUGUGGCUAUUCUGUGUGUAACAUGCAGUACUUGAAUUUGUAAAUGAGUUUUGUUUGCUUUGAGGCAUUUUAAAAUCAGAAUAUGAAUUUACCAAAGUAAAUGAUGCCACCAUAAUAAAAAAAAAUUUAAAC
rnacentral:lncRNA from 1 species